CUUUCCAGAGCCUACGAUUUUCUUCUUCCCCUCUUCUGAUUCAUUCCCUCACGAGAAAGCUUUGCUUCGUGCACCGCAGCAUAAGAGGGAUCAAAUAGCAUCCGCGUGCAUGACAGAGUUCCAUAGAGUGCAUUUCAGGGCUCCAUGAUGAAAUCGCAAAGACGAACUCAUGUCGGAAGAGAAAAUGUUGGUCUGUGGGUUUUCGUGACGGCUUUUAGCACGAAGAUUAAGAAAGGAAUAAGGGAAUAUGAAGAAGAGGUGGGAUCGAAGAAUGGUUGGUUUUGACGAGGGGCUUGUUUAUGGUGGUUUACAUGAGGUGACGGGCUUGAAACGAUCGUGUGAAAAUUCAUCAUAGGAUUACUCCGUC